rnacentral:rRNA from 1 species
UCUUGGAAAGUCAAGAGAGAGUGGCGAACGGGUGAGUAACGCGUGAGCAACCUGCCUUCCACAAAGGGAUAGCUGCCGGAAACGGUAAUUAAUACCAUAUGAAGUUAACGAAUCGCAUGAUAAGGUAACUAAAGAGAAAUCGGUGGAAGAUGGGCUCGCGUCCGAUUAGCUGGUUGGAGAGAUAACAGCUCACCAAGGCAAUGAUCGGUAGCCGGCUUGAGAGAGUGAACGGCCACACUGGAACUGAGAGACGGUCCAGACUCCUACGGGAGGCAGCAGUGGGGAAUUUUGCACAAUGGGGGGAACCCUGAUGCAGCGACGCCGCGUGAGCGAAGAAGGAAUUCGUUUCGUAAAGCUCUGUCCUAUGGAAAGAU